AACGUCGCUGCAGUGGGCGGGGACUCGCGGCACUGAGGAAUAUCGAUUGGUCAACUGUGAAGCGCGUCUCCACCCCUACCCGAAGGGCUAUUUAAAUAGGUUUGGGCCGGGGGGGGGCGGGGGUUCUGAAUGCGCCGUUCUGAUUGAGGUAGAGGCAUAUCCAUCACUGCUUCGCCUCUACUUCUUAAAUGGAGGCCUUGAUAAAUAGUUCCCCCAUGUUUUAUUUCGUUUUCAGUGAAAACUCAACUAGAACGACAAAAGGCGCAGAUCGAAAUCACGUUAUUAAUGAAUGCUGACACGAUACAAAUCGUCAAAAUAACAAUCGUAAGGUACAAAUUGUCGAUACAAGCUUCGUCUGUGGUAAACAUAGAGAGCGCAAGGAGACUGAGUGACUGGUGCUGGGCUAAAAAUACAGGUGGCUGAUAAUGUCCCGUGUUUUAUUUGGUUGGAGCAGGCAGUAGGGGGCGGGCAUUCCGGGCGGGAACCGCAUUCUGAUUAGCUGUCGGUAUCGAGGCUGUUGCCAGGCUCUGGUCUCCCAACAAAAGGUGCCGGGGGUUGGUGAGGAGCGGGAGCGCGCACUCCGUCUCACAACAAAACCGCUUGUCCUUAGGUUGAGCGUGCGUUAGAAUCAGAUGGUGUUCCCAGGGAUCUUGACUUCAGUUUUUCAAGAAGUGCAGCUGGCUUGGAUGAAAGAAUGAAGAGUUACAUCUUCAGGACUUUCAGGAGGUGCUGAGCUGUCAUCUUGAACCACUGCGGUCCAUAUUAUGCAGAUACACUGAGAUUACUGUUUAGAUCCAGCAACAGUGAAGCAACAGGACAAUGAGAUGUGCCUUAGAGAAGAACUUGCAGAUACAAGUGUUCUCAUCAAUCUGCUGUCUUUGGCCUUCAAGCUGAUAGAGGAUGUAUGUUUGAAAGGUAUCAAGGAACCUGCAUCCUGUAGCCAAUACACACUGGUGCCAUUGUAUGGAACUAGUGAAUUGGGUGCCAACCAAGUGGGAUGCUUUGUUCUGGAUGGUGUUAAACUUAUGGUGUAGUGUUGGAGCUGCAGCAAUCCAGGGAUUUGAAGAGUGUUCCUAUUACCCUCCAGUUCAAAUUCUGGUAACCAAAGGAUGCUUUUUUCAUUUGUGCAUGGAAUGUUUGCAUCAUUGGCCCACAUUGUUGCCUGUCCCUAAUUGUCCCUUGAUCAAAAAUGGCUUGCUCGGACAUUUCAGCGGGCCACUAAGAGACAAGCAGGUCUGGAGUCACUUGUACGACCAACCAGGUCAGGAAUACAGACUUGUCAGAUUUGUUUGGUGUCAGAUUGGAUCCCCCAGGGAGGGAGUGGGUUUUUAGGUCUGGUGGUUUGUGGGAUUGCGAGUGUCAGGUCUGGUGAGGCUGGAGGACUUUGGGUAUACUGUUGUCAGAGUAUGGGGAGCUUUUGGGGGUUGAAUCUCUUAGUGUGGGCGGAGUAAUUGGUGAAUUGAUGGCUGUCUAAUAAUUAUGCAGGAGUUACAGUACAUUUAUAAUCCUGUAAUGUUUCCGAGGUAACCAUUAAGUCAGAAUGCUCUGAAUUCCCUAAGGGGCUUUAAUGGAGGGUUGUUGUUAAUCAGAAUUUUUAUCUUCCUGGGCAAUUUCCUUGCGAUCAGCUGUGUCACAAUUUCAACGUUGUGCUGCAUGCAAUUCCAGUCCGCACUGCUGCACUGACAGCCUGGCCAGUGGAAUACCUAUGUCAUUGUCCCUUCAAUGACAGGACUUUUGGGGAAAUGUGAUGUGGAUUGUGUGCCACUUGUGAAGAACAAGGGAAGAAGAAUGAAACAAGGGAUGGAGAAUAAGGACCAAAAAUACCCAUUAAUCAGUAACAUUAUAAAGAGUUAAAGGAAAAUUGAGGCGUAAACGGACACAUUGAAUAGAUAAAACUAGAAGAAAAGCUGAGAGCAUCCUUGGUUUUAUAAAUAGAUUUAGAGUACAAAACCAAAGUGGUGAUUAUAUAUAAAUGGUUGGUUACACCACAGUUAAAAUAGAGUGUGCUGUUUUGGUGCCUCACUUUAAGAGGGAUGUCAAGGCCAUGGAGAUGAGAAAGAGAUCCACUGAGAUAAUCUCGGAAUGAAGAGAUUAGAGAAUCAGAUCUUUUCAUUAGUGUGGAGAAAGUUAAAGGGACAUUGGUAAGUAUCUUUGUGAUGAGGUCAGGAUUGGUCCUUUUCAGUCUGAGACUAUGGCAAGGGAGGGAACAGAAUUUUGGUCAGGACUAACAGUAAUGCUUUUACUCUUCCAAAUAAAAUUAGAGGCAAUUUUGACAUCAGUAUUGGAUGUUGGGCAAACAGUGUGACAACCCAGAGGCAAUGGAGGGUCGAGGGAUAUCAUGUGUAGUGAGGUAGUUAGCAGCAUGAAUGAGGAACCUCAUACAUUUUUGGAUUACGUUGUUGAGGGGCAGCAAGUAAAUUAGAAAUAUAAAGGGGUCAAGGAUAGAUUUCAGUGGGACACCAGAGGUCUGGGAGAGGGAGAUAUUCCAUUCUCGAUGAUUCUUUGGCUCUGGCUGGUUGAUCAGACCUUUUUCUUCCCUCAGUCCACACACUGAUCAUAAUUGGCAAACCCUUCUCUAUACACAAUACCUCAAGAAACUCCAAUUUAAAACCUCAUGAAAAUUUGGCCUUCUUAACAAAUGGGAUUUUGCUGAUUUAAACUUUGGAUACACCUCAUCCAUAGGAAAGCAAGAAUAUGACUUAGCUGAGUGUGCUAAGGUAAAUUAAUUGGGUCAUUUGUCAAGUUAUAGAGUCAUAGAGAUGUACAGCAUGCAAACAGACCCUUUGGUCCAACCCAUCCAUGCUGACCAGAUAUC